UCCGUCUCCCAUUCGUUCGCUCGCUCGCUCGCACGACCACUCACUCACUCGCACACCCGGUCCGGCGUUGUACGCCGACGAACCACCCUUGCCGGGGCCUCUCCUCCCUUGCACUCCGCGCCUUCCACCUUCCGCUAGAACGAGGGAGUCCGCUGGGGUGGGAUCAAUAUGAGGGCGAACGCGCGGGAAAUUCGCGCGCAGGUCCUUCUCCACCCUCGACGCGUUAGAUACACACACCACACAGCCUCCCCCUCCCCCGUCGGGUGUCCUCUACCCGCGCUACUCCUCGUCUACCCUAUCGCCUACAUCCGCGCCCACUAUGCGUUUUUUGUCUCUUUCUCUCUCUCUCUCUUCCUCCCCUUCACCUUUGUGUUUUCCCUGGUGUUCGUGACCCGACUCGCGCCGUGAUAGAAGUCGAUGUCGGCCUCGCUCGGUCGCCCCGCUUCCUUCGACAACCCUCACCUGGAUAGUCCACGCAUCUCAUCCGCCGACCUACUCGUAUCAGCCACCACAGCACGAGGAUACGAGCCGAAGGACCAAGAGGCUGAAAAACGUCGGUGUGUAUAAAUAUGUAUGCACCAGAUAAAUUCAUGGAUUUGAUAACAGCCUAAAAAUCGUGGCGACCAGUCGUCAUCUUUGCACGUCGGUGACUCAGUGAAUUAAAAAAAAUAUUGGUGCUGUCAUCUUCACGGCGUUUCUCGUGAACUGCACCGCGACUGCCUGCCUCGGUAAAGCAGGAUUCGACUUGUCGAUAACCAACUUCACAUUGCAGGUAUCUACUACAUCCACAACGGUAAAAGACUCGUCCUCGUGUAAAAAUUUUACAACCAAGAAUAAAACAGAAAUAAUUUGUUCGAUCUAAUAAACUUGUUUAUUUUAUAAAAAAAUUAUUUUUGUAAAAUAAAACUCUGUCUUCAAAAUAAAGAAAUCUUUGAAAACUGUAUUUGAAAAAAAAAAAGAAGCAAUUUCUUCAAGCUUUCCCCGUUCCUUCAUUUUUAAACUACAGGAUUAUAAAUCAACGCUACACACGUUUGAUGCAAUUUAUGCACUCCCGAUAUAAACGGGGGUUUGGGAUCGGUCGUUUAAACGCGAGCCAUUGUCUUUCGCAGCGCAGCGGUUUUGCGGUUUAAUAACCGGAACUCGGGUAGAAGGGUAGCCGUCGUUUGUCAGUUCAUUAACGCGCUAACCGCGCUCUAAAAAGUUCUCGAAGGAUCGUUCGCGCGAGACGCAGCGUUUCGAUCAACCGGCACCGUCCACUCCCAACGUUGUAGUCUCCCGCCGCCGCGAACGUAAUAAUCUUAUUUGAUUGCUCGAAGGGGAGAGGGCUUGGCAAAAAUAUGAGAAAUAUACUGUAUCGUCCGUGCAGCGACUCUCAACCGGGUCGCCCGAGGGUGUCACGAACAUCUCCUCUCGGAAAGGCCGCAUUGAAAGACAUCCGUGAACAUAAUACAUACGUUACAAAUAAAUUUCUUCCUGCGCCAAAGCAGGAAGAAAUCCUAGCGAGGAUAUAUUUCUCAGAAUUUACCGCUAUAGACGAGAGGAGAGGCACGCGAGUGUCUUCGCUAAAAUUAAAAACGCCGAAUCCUUAUCUAAUUGAUCAAUAAUUAACGGAAGAUACGUUCUCGCUAAAUAGAUUGCGAUUGAAUUUUAAGCCGCUGCCGGCGACCAUAAAACACCAUGCAAAACCGGAAUCCGCCUGUUUGUUCAUGGCGUUAUCUUCCAGACGUAGAGUAAUGCCAUGUGCCCGGAUCCGGUUUGUACCAAAGUGCAUUCGGCCACCAUCUGUGUUGACAAAAAGAAAUUUCUCAUUUCGGAGAAAGAAACGGAGAAGAGAAGAGAGCGCGCGGAAGUGUACCGUCCCAGGGAAUUCCGGCAAGACUUUGAUCGCGAAGUCUGAAUCUUAACCGGUAAUCCCCUGAUCUCCCUAAUUCCGUCGCUCAUACUUAAAUCCGUGCAAAACAAUUCCGCCAAGACGCGAGACGAUGUAUCGCAAAAGGCAUCGUUACAAUUAGCGUCCGAGAGCAAUUUCAGAUCGGCGCCCCUCGGGACAAAAAGAGAAAGAGCAGGAGGGAGAGAACCGGCGCGUAUCGCAAGCUCCGAUCGGCAGCGAGUCGGCGCGCGAGGCAGGGAGGUGCAGGCGGAUAAAUUUCGUUUUAACGUAACAUCAUUAAAUCGUGACCGGUCCGCGCCAUCGCCAAAACUUUUUUUUACGCCGCGCGGACGGGCGCGCGAACGAACGCGAAAGUUGCCGAGGAGAAUAAAAUUUAUGGCGAUACGCGGGUUGCGGGUGCAACCUUUCGGUCGACGGCAACGAUGGGCAACGUCCGGUCUCGUGCCUCGGUUGCGCGUGCAAAAGAAAAAAGAAAGAGGAAAAAAAAA